rnacentral:lncRNA from 1 species
UGAAUGCUGAUAUGGCGGAGAUUCAAAUGGGAAGGGAUUCAGAUGUGGUCAUCUCUUUUGUUCUCCGAUGUUCUGAUCGCGUUUCUUUCUUAUGUGAAUGGCUAAACAUCUCUGCUUCAUAACUCAGAACUGUGUUAUGGUGGAACAUUUUAGAUGAAGUUCAGUGUAGUAUCUCUUUAGAUGAUGUGUUGCCAUGGAGUUGGUGAGUAGUUUAAAGUUAAGGAAUUUGGUUAUUGGGCUUGUAGGAUUUCUAAUUGUACCAAGGUUAUGAUCCUUAGUGGGGUGUAAUUGUCCUGUUAUGUACAUGGGUAAUGAUCUAUGAAGGUCUCUUUAUAUGAAAAUGCAGGAAACAGUUCAAUUUUGCUUCGUUGUAGCGUUGAGGUGUUUUAAGUGUUCUUGUGCAUUGAUCACAUUUCUUUUCUUCCGUGAUUCGUAAAAAUGUCAUUCUCUUCUGUCGAUAUGUUGGGAUGUACGGAGUAGUUUCUAAGUAUAUAGGUAAAGUAAAGGAAUUUGGUUGUUGGACCUGUUGCAUUGCUAAAAUUGUAUGAAGGUUAUGAACUUAUGAUCCUUAGGUGGGGUGUAAUUGUCCUGUUAUUUACAUGGGCUUUAAUCCGUGAAGGUUUCCUAUAUGAAAUUAUAGGAGAACAGUUUAGUUCUGCUUCUUAUUGUAGCUCUGAGGUGUCGAAGUACUCUUGUGCAAGUCGCUAGGUCUGCAUUUGCUUGUUGUGAUUGCAUACGAAUCGGCUUAGCAAACAUAAAUUAAUAGUUGCACUGUAUAUUUGCAUAGCAUGGAAAGAAGAUGCUUUGACUGUACUCUGAUAGGUUAUACAUGUUUUAAUAAAAUGAUUUGAUGUUGUGUAACAUAACUUGGAGUAUCCAUAAUGGAAGAUCAUUUAUAUGCAUGGCAUGGCCGUCUCCUAGUUUUGCGCAAAAUUGGCGGGUAAGUAAAAUUAUCAAAGGUAACGACUAUCUUUUAAGCUUGUUUUAUUAUCUCUCUGACAUUUGUUGUGGAGCUUUAGUUACCUCCUUUUUACCUGAUAUUCACUCCAUUUUAUUACCGAAUUUGGUACUCCCUCCGAUCCAAAUUAAUUGACGGAGCUUUAGUAUUGCCUCGAUAUCUUGAUUCCGCUGUCUGUUGCAUUUGUAGCGCGUGCUUGGUUCGAUGCCAAUAUUUGGCAUGCCAUGUUUAAAGGAAUUUGAUUGGCCAACAAAAUUUUGUGGUAACCUUUAGCCAAGUUGUCAAUGUUGUCAAGUUCUGGUUUUGCCAAAUAUUGGCUAGCCGACUUCUAGUAAUAAAUCAAGCAUGCCCCUAGCGACGUAAUUGCAUGCACUUCAUUUUCUUAUUUUUAACACUAUAACCCUAGGUUGACGGAUUGUUGCGUAUAAUGGGCUAUUCAUCUUGGUAGUUCAGUUAUAGUAGUACCUCAUGGAUGAAGCAACAAAAGUGUAGGCCAUAUACAUUUUUAUCAGGAGAUAAAAGCAACAUGAAUUGGUGAACCUCCAUCUGAGCCCCAAUUUACAGUUUGGUCUCUUUAGAAUUAUUUUUUUAAAUCAAUUGAUAUCCCUGGACAUUCUAAAACAGUCUGGCUGCUAGGCAAGUGAGCACAACUCAAUGCUCUUGGUGUAUUGAAGUUGCACCCCCUACUUGAGCAGAUCGAUUAACUUCUCCCCGGAAGGGUUUUGUAGCUCUGCGCUACAUCAGUUUCUUUUACCACAUACUUACUGAAGUAUAGCUUUGGUUAGAUUUGUGGAUAUCAUUGGUGGAAAGGGAGAUACAUAUGUUUUCUGAGGUUUUGUAAUCCAUUCUUUGACUAACUAAGCAUAUGGUGUGAGCUUGAAGAUUUGUAAUCCCUAUCUUACAUAUAUUUCUCAUUCUCAUCUGGUCUGUUUUUUCAAGGGUCAUCUGGUCUGUUACACUCAACCAGAAUUGAUCUGUAGGCGCUGGGUUGAGGAUAUGCUUUUUUAAUGCUCAGUAUUGUAGUCUAGGAUGGAGCUUGUCUGUUCCUACCGGAGGCCCCCCUGCCAGUGUGUGCCACGGUCUGCUGCUUGGGUCAACCGCCCCAAACAAAGGUCUCUCAUCUAGUCUUUCUCUCUUUAUUUCUGACUUGUCUUACUAGGUUCUUGCCUGACUUGUGAAUUUUUCAAAGGAUCUGUUGUCUACUUCAUCCUAAGAGGCUAAAAAUAUUCAAGUUAACUGGGAAACAAAGGAAAUAUUUGUGGCGGGUGGAGAUUAUAUAUGUCUGCAGAUUCAUUAUUGUAGAACCAAAUGUGCACUAGAAUUGUACUCCCUCUGUUUCUAAUGUAGUCCGUAUUGAAAUCUUUAAAAAGGCUUAUAUGGAGUACAUGAACAGAGGGAGUAUAACCAAAGCAACUCUUAUAGACGUAAACAUGUGCUAUUUCCUUCUUUAUUUUUUGAGGAUACGUAAACAUGUGCUAUGAGGGACAUAGGAGCAGAGCUGCGCCAGCAAUGCGUUUCCUCCUGAUUUGCCACUCGUUUCCCCCUGAUUUGGGCUCUCCAUUCCCAUUGUCAUGUCAUGUCUAUGUUCUUUAUCUAGUAUACUAAAAGCGUGAUCAGCGUCGAUUCACUCGAAUUGUUUUCAGAUAAGGCGAUCGGAUUUUGCAAAGCAUCUUUCGAAACAGGAGGACCCAUCAUCUUAUCUCCUCUACAGUUCUCAGCACAACACCAUUUUGGACCGGUCUUUAUUUCCGAGAUUCCGUAUUAGAUUAUUUAUCGCUGGUUUAGUACAAUUUUGUUGUAAAUGAGCGACAACUAAUAUUAUGAAGCGGAGGAAAUACUUCCUCCCUCCGGAAAUAUUUGUCCUAGAAAUGAAUAAAAUGAAUGUGUCUAUAACUAAAAUAAGUCUAGAUACAACCAUUUCUAGGACAAGUAUUUUCGGACGGAGGGAGUACAUGCUUGCAUUCCUUACUUGCCUAGGGUGGGAAAGAAACUGUUUUCAAUUGGUACUCGCUGGAUUUCUGUCUAUCUUUUAUCUUUUUUUAGGAAAGAAUUUCUUUUUAUCUUAAUUAAUGAAUGAGACAAAUCUUUUGCUUCGGUUUUAAUAAAUAUAAUACAAUUUCAUUCAUAGACUCCUCAAACCUUGAAAGAGAAUAAAUUUGUGAACCAACAUGUGGUUGGAUAGUUAGGAGGAUAGUGCUAUCUCCUGUCAUCAGAGUUCAAGUUCUGAAUUUAUUCUAGGCCUUCGGUGAUGUGCGUUCAGUGGAAGAAGAUGUUCCUGUCAACUACGAAGGUGUCUGUCGACUUGGUCAAUCUCUAGAUGUCGACUUCGUAUAAUGUGUUGGCUAAGUCUACUCAUAGGGAUAGGGUGUGCGUGCGUAUGUUCAUAGGAAUAAGUAUAUAUGCGUAUGUAUGAGCAUCCUCGUCUGUAUUGUGUUAAAAAAAUGUAAAAGAAAUUCUAGCCAACCUAGCAUGCUCAGGAGUAACUAUUUUUGAAUCUAAAGAUAGAAAAGUCACAAGCAAUAAAACAACAAUCAUCAAAAACUGUUGUCGCCUCUCCUGCGGACCGUACACGCCAAAACUUCCAUCAUCAGAACAUCCACAAUGAUCUAUUCUCCAAAACCCUCCUACAAUAUGUGUUCGUUUAUUGUUCAUCAGGAUAGCCCUGGUCGUAUCCUUAAGAAAAUCAUGAUCAAAGGAGCAUUAACAUUAAGCUUCACAAAUCCCAUUAGAGGGCGAAUUCAUCCACACCCCCUCGUAGAAACGUUUGAAGAGGAAUCAACAAUAUAAUUAACCGUAAGAGCUUGUAUCAUCGUUGAAAUUUGGAUAACAUCUUGAAUGUUCUCCUUAUGGAUGAUUUUACGUCUUUCUCACCACAAAUACCAGGUCGUAAUGGUAAUCAUCUCCCGAAUUCUGAAACCCCAUAAUAGAUAAAUCAUGAUCUGGCAUGUGUAACAAGAAUUCCAGGACAGCCUCACCAACACGAUCAACUUUGCAAGCUCUAACAAUAACUUCGUAAAAACCUAGUCUUCUCCAAACCACCUUACACUGGUAGAAAAAGGGCCUGUUGUCCCGGUUCAUAAGGGCCUUUAGUCCCGGUUCCUGAACCGGGACUAAAAUGUCGGUACUAAUGCCCUGUCCCUUUAGUCCCGGUUCAAUCCAGAACCGGGACUGAUGGGCCUCCACGUGGCCUGUGCGCGGAGCCCAGGCAGGAGACCCUUUGGUCCCGGUUGGUGGCACCAACCGGGACCAAUAGGCAUCCACGCGUCAGCAUUUCUGUGGCUGGGGUUUUUGUUUUUUUUUGAAGGNNNNNNNNNNNNNNNNNNNNNNNNNNNNNNNNNNNNNNNNNNNNNNNNNNNNNNNNNNNNNNNNNNNNNNNNNNNNNNNNNNNNNNNNNNNNNNNNNNNNNNNNNNNNNNNNNNNNNNNNNNNNNNNNNNNNNNNNNNNNNNNNNNNNNNNNNNNNNNNNNNNNNNNNNNNNNNNNNNNNNNNNNNNNNNNNNNNNNNNNNNNNNNNNNNNNNNNNNNNNNNNNNNNNNNNNNNNNNNNNNNNGGGGGGGUUGGGGGUUUUGGGGGGUUAAUUUAGGUGUUUCAUGUAUUGUGUUAGCUAGCUAUAAUUAAUAGAGAGAAGUGUCCUCUCUUAUGUCCGUGCUUGGUCGACGCUACGUACUAUACAUACGUAUAGAGAGGACUAGACACGCUAGCUAGCUAGUAAGCAACGAAGGAAACAGAAGAUCGUCAUGAACAUAUAUGCAUACAGAGAGAAGUGAUAUCGACCACCUCUCCUUCUCCGAGAGAUUGGUCGAACAACAAGUUCUCGUAUAUCUAUCCGACACUACCGGCUACAUAUAUACAAUAAUUAUCUCUUACAAAUAUAAUCAUACGGACUCAUGGUCCAUAUAGUAUUCUCCGUCUUCAGCGAUCACGUGGUCAAGAAAGAAUGCCGCCAAUUCCUCUUGAAUUGCUCGCAUGCGAGCUGGUGCUAGGAGUUCAUCCCGCUUCCGAAACAUCUAAUUUGAAGAAGGGGGUCAAUACAUAUAUAUAUGAAUGAAUGAAACUCAAUACAAAUGAUGGUAAUAAAAUAAAAUUGUGAAUGUUGUUAUUUAUGUACUUCAUAUUGUUCGUCAGAGUACCCGCCCCGCUCACAGGUCGUGUGGCGGAUGGACUCGCAGACGUAGUAUCCACAGAAAUCAUUCCCUUGUUCCUGCCACAACCACUUUACAAGAAAUAGAGGUCAAUCAAACUGAUAAGCAAGAAUGCUAAAUGGUAUUGAUGAAACUAGUGCUUGAAUCACUAGGAGAUGCGCGGAACAUGCUACUAUAGUACUUACUUUCGGGUGUCUAAAUUCCAGCUCCUUCGGCAGUCCCGGAACUUUUCUGGUGAAUUUUGUCCAAACCUUGCCGGACAAAGAAAACAAUUACUUGAUAUCAGGAAAUGAACAAAGUUGUUGAUAUGGUGGAUAAUGAUCGAUUUAACUUACUUCUUGAGGAUUUCAGCCAUGUCCGCAUACUCCUGGGGAUCUUUUCGUUUAGAGUCCAAGACGGUUACUACUCCCUGCUCAAGCCUAAUCUCUAGGAGAAUAUAGUGGAAACUGCACACGCAUGCAUAACUCAUCAAUUACAUUACUAUAACCUGGACUAAUAUAUAAGGGAAACCGAAUAUGCACAAGACAGUAACACUCACUUGAAGUUGUAAGGAAAGAGUAUUAUAUCUUUGUUUUCAUUUUUUUUGAAUGAUCGUAGCAAGUUGGCCUCGGUAUCUCCGGGACGAUGUUCAACCUCAGUUGCAUCUAUGAGAUAUGUGUUAACGAACCCAAUAUCACCGAUUUGUCUUUUCUUCAAUUCGGCGAUCUUCAUUCUGCAUAAUAUAGUGAGAAUAAUUAUAAAUACAUGCAAUGAAAGAGAUGAGCUAUAUAGAGAGACUUAAUGACAGAAGUAGUAGUACUUACAGACAGUAGCAGGUGAUCGUUGUUUUAUCGAGGGCCAAUUGAUUGAAAAACUUAUAGAACUCCUCAAAUGGAAUAGGCAACAGUUCAAUUCCAACGAGGUCAUGCUCCGGUUUAACUCCCGCAUACAAAGUACUCCUCCCGUACCAAUCAUGUAAUCUUCGCAUCAUCGUUGUUAAAGAUUUUUCAUCUUUGACGAGAGGCUUCCCGUACUCGUAUCUGUGUAUCUGCACCUCCAUGGGAUCAUAAUGUACAUCGUCGGGCAGGUAAUCGUCAACAUUGCCAUAACCGGGCACCAUCCUCGGAUCGACGAUGUCGCUAGGCACCUUGAGGGGGGGGGGCACGAUUUCUUCGCUUGUUCGCCGAGCUGGGCAAUUUGUUUCCCAGCUGCUCGUCGUUCUUUCAGCCUUUGAUCACUGACUGUACUUCCCGACCGCUCCGCUUCGGCCCAUGUCUUUGCAAUAAUGCGCUCACAGUUGCCUUUCGGCGGAGACUUGGGUGGUUUUGCCAGGGCAGCUAGAGUGCGCUUCACUUUCACCGGAUCUACCUUCUCCUCCGGAGGUGGAUGUCUCUUUGCUCUCAACCCUUGAAACCAGUCAUCCACUUCGGUUCGCGCGAUCUUUGCGUUCUCCUCCGGGGUCCUCUCGUAUGGUAACUUAUGUGGACUCUUCAGAGAAGGACCGAAUCUGUAUGUCCUCCCGCCUCUGGUUGUACUGCUAGACGCCGGUCGAGUAGACGAAGCGGUUGUCUUCUUUACUUGCUUAGGAGGCGGAGAAGAAGGACUACAACGCGUCGGAGCAGCUGCUGGAGCGGCAGCAGGUCUCUUCCGCCCUUGCUGAUGAGGCGGAGAAGGAGGAGGCUGGCUGCUCGGGCGCGCCGGCGCAGGCGGAGUGCCGCCACGCGCCGGAGAAGGAGCCGGCCGAGGGCCCUGAUCGUCACUCGCCGGAGGAGGAGGCGGUGGAGGAGGCGGAGUGCCCUGACUCGCCGGAGGAGGAGGAGGAGGCGGAGGCGUCCAGUUCGGAAGGUUGAUGAGCUCCUUCCGCCAUAGGCAUGGAGUCUUCAGAGCAGACCCCAGCCGAGUCUCCCCUUCACCGGUAGGGUGGUCAAGGUGGAGGUCCUCAAAUCCCUCCGUUAUUUCAUCCACCAUCACCCUAGCAUAUCCUUCUGGAAUCGGUCGACAGUGAAAAGUUGCAUCGGGUUCAGUAGGAUAAACAGAGCCAACAGCCGCCUUGACCUUCAAAUUCAUCCAUUGCGUCAUAAGGUGGCAAUUUUGAGACUCCGUGAUAGCAUCCACGGGAUAGCUGGCAGGAGCCAUCAAGGCAUGCUCCGGCUGAAGCAGCUCGGUGGAAGCCACGCUGCUUCUGCGCUGAGAUGGCGGGGUAGCUUCGGGGGAAGCUUCGGCAGUACGUUUGCUGCGAUUUUCUUCUCGUUCCUCUAUCGCGUCUACCCUUGCUUGCAGCACCUGCAUUUGGGUCUGCUGCACUUUUUUCCUCUUCUCAUGGGAUUUGUAACCGCCUGCGUCCGGAAACCCAACCUUCCACGGAAUGGAGCCUGGCGUGCCUCGUGUCCGUCCAGGGUGCUCAAGAUUCCCGAGGGCCAUUGUGAGCUCGUCGUUCUCUCUGUCUGGAAAGAACUUCCCUUGCUGCGCUGCUUCGAUAUACUGCUUAAGCUUCCUGACUGGUAUGUCCAUUUGAUCGUUCGUCCAAAUGCACUUCCCUGUUACAGGGUCCAAGGUUUCGCCAGCCCCGAAGAACCAAGUAGGGCAACGGUCUGGCCAGCUAAUUGUCUCUAGUUCGAUCCCUUUAUCAACCAGAUCAUUCUCAGUCUUGGCCCACUUAGGCCAGGCUACGAGGUAGCCACCUGACCCCGUGCGAUGGUGAAGCAUCUUCUUCACAGCAUUUUGCUUGUUUGUCGCCGACAUCUUCUUACUCUUUUCCGAUGUCUUGUGGGCCACAAAUGCGGGCCAGUGAUCUGUGAUCUUCUCAUAUCUGCCCUUGAAUUCUGGUGUCUCAUUAUUUUCGACAAACUUAUUCAGCUCUUUCUUCCACCUCCUGAAUAGUUCUCCCAUCCUCUUAAGAGCAAAAGACUUGAGUAGUUGCUCUUUAACUGGGUUCUCUGGAUUAUCCUCUGGUGGUAGGGUGAAAUUUGACUUCAGCUCAGUCCAAAGAUCAUUUUUCUGCAUAUCAUUGACAUAAGACACCUCAGGGUCUUCUGUAGCCGGCUUAAACCAUUGCUGGAUGCUUAUCAAGAUCUUGUCCCUAACCAGAACCCCAUACUGAGCAACAAAUGCGCUCUUUCUCCGGAGGGGUUCAAUCGGUUGACCGUCGGGCGCGAUUGCUAUGAUCUCAAACUUUUCAUCCGAGCUCAACUUUUUCUUCGGGCCUCGUCUCUUUACCGAAGUUGUGCUCGAUCCGGAGGGCUAGAAAAAAGAACAAAGACUUAAUUAAUAUGUGUACAUACCAAAAGAAUGAAUGCAUCAAUCAGCUAGUCAGCACAGGCUUAACUAAUAUAUAUACCUGGCCGGACUCGGUUGGGUCACCGGAGCCGUCAUCACGGUCUCCUUCUUGCACCAGCAUUGGGUCACCGGAGCCGUCCUCAUGUUCUUCUUCUUGCACCGGCAUUAGGUCACCGUAGCCAGCUUCUUCACCCUCUCCUUCCAGACCAUCGGUGUCGUUGAGAAACAACGAGACGGCAUCACUUCCUUCUGCGAUUAUGUCCCUCAACAACGCUUCUUUUGCUUCGUCUAGGGCGGUGUCCAUAGUUUCUACAAAUAUUUACAACAUGGCAAUUAUUAUUCAAACAUGACAGAUGGAUAUAUUAGUGCCAAACAUAGAACUAGCUACCUAAUCAUAGUAAGGAAUCAUAUAUAUUAAUUAGUGGCCUUGACCCCCCCCCCCACGUGUUGAAGCUAUCGGGAGGGGGUAUAUAUCGACAACGACGACACUACAUCUAUAUGUCCCUCGACGACCCUCGUUCCCGAUAAAAAAAGAGGAAGAAGAAGAAAAAAAAGAGGAGAAGAAAGAAUAGAGGAGAAGUCUCCUCUAUUCUUUCUUCUCCUCUUUUUUUUCUUCUUCCUCUUAUUUUUUUAUCCUCUUCUUCCUCUCAUGUUCGAGAGGAUCGCCGAGGGGUCGGAAGGUUGCCUAGUGUCAAAGGAUUCAACAAAACCAUGUCUUCAUCAUUAGGCGAAAGUAACAGGUGCAUGAUGGUACGAAGCUCUCCAAAGUUAUUUUGGAACGGAGUCCUAGAUAGGAUAAUUCGCUUUUUGGUACAAAGUUCAGCAAGAACCUUCAAAAUAUCGUUAUUUGGAAGGCCUUUGGUGAAAUUCAUACAAAAAGGCAAAUUAUCCUAUCCGGGACACCAUUCCAAAAUAACUUUGGAGGACUUCGUCAUGCCCUGGUUACUUCGGGCUAAUGAUGAAGCCAUGGAUUUUUUCAAUACUUUGACACUAGGAAACCUCUCUCGACCCCUCGGCGGUCCUCGACCCCUCGAAGCCUCGACGACCCUGGAACCCUCGACCCCUAGACGACCCUGAAAUAAAAAGAGGAGAAGAAGAAAGGAAUAUCUAGAGGAGAAGAUCGAAGAAAAAAAAGAAGAAAAAAAAGAGGAGAAGAAGAAAGGAAUAGAGGAGAAGAAGAGAAAAUAGAAUAUUCUAUUUUCUCUUCUUCUCCUCUAUUCCUUUCUUCUUCUCCUCUUCUUCUUUUUCUUCUUCUUAUUUAUUUUUCCCCUUCUUCCUCUCCUCUUCUUCUCCUUUCUUCCUCUUCUUAUUUUCCUUUUCCCUCUCCUUCUUUUUCUUCUUCUUCCUUCUUUCUAGCUAGAUAUAUAAAACUUUUCUAAAAAUGUAACUUUUGCAUAUAUACAUGGAAAAAAUUGUUAUCGGGGAGGGAAUAUAUUCUAUUUUCUCUUCUUCUCCUCUAUUCCUUUCUUCUUCUCCUCUUCUUUUUUUUCUUUUUCUUAUUUAUUUUUCCCCUUCUUCCUCUCCUCUUCUUCUCCUUUCUUCCUCUUCUUAUUUUCCUUUUUCCUCUCCUUCUUUUUCUUCNNNNNNNNNNNNNNNNNNNNNNNNNNNNNNNNNNNNNNNNNNNNNNNNNNNNNNNNNNNNNNNNNNNNNNNNNNNNNNNNNNNNNNNNNNNNNNNNNNNNNNNNNNNNNNNNNNNNNNNNNNNNNNNNNNNNNNNNNNNNNNNNNNNNNNNNNNNNNAACUUUUCUAAAAAUGUAACUUUUGCAUAUACACAUGGAAAAAAUUGUUAUCGGGGAGGGAAUAUAUUCUAUUUUCUCUUCUUCUCCUCUAUUCCUUUCUUCUUCUCCUCUUCUUUUUUUUCUUUUUCUUAUUUAUUUUUCCCCUUCUUCCUCUCCUCUUCUUCUCCUUUCUUCCUCUUCUUAUUUUCCUUUUUCCUCUCCUUCUUUUUCUUCUUCUUCCUUCUUUCUAGCUAGAUAUAUAAAACUUUUCUAAAAAUGUAACUUUUGCAUAUAUACAUGGAAAAAAUUGUUAUCGAGGAGGGAGUAUAUCGACCCCCCCUCGACCCUCUUUUACUUCUUCUUCCUUCUUCCUUCUUCCUCUUUUCUUCUCCAACACAAAACACAUCUCAUCUCAUCUCAUUUCAUCCAAAAAUAAUUCUUUGCAUAUGAACAUACAUACAUUUACUUUUUUUCUUAAAUGUUACAUAUGAACAUUUUUUUAAAUAUUAAUGAGCAUAUGAACAUACAUAUCAACAAAAAAUAGACCUUUUUCUUGGUAACAAAAAAAAUGCAAAACGAGCAUUAUAUAUACAGCAUAUAUAGAGCAUUAUACAGUGAACAUACAUACAUACAUACAUACAGUGAGCAUAUACAUGAGCAUUAUACGGCGACGGCGACGAUGGUUGGCGGUGGCGCACGCUUACGGAUGACGUGCGGGGACGGCAAUGAGAAGGAAAAGGGGAGGAGGCAGGGGCUCACAGUGCGGGGAGGGGUCGAGGUCACCGGCCGGAAUCGGUGCGGGUGACGAUGACGGCGUCGGCGGGGGCGACGGGCGGCUUCGGGGCAGCCUGGAGGCGACGGGGCAGGGGCGACGACGGGGGCGCGUGGACGGCGUCUGGGCGGCGGGCGGCGUCGGGGUAGCGGAUCGGCGUCGAUCUGGGCAGCCUGGCGGCGUCGAUGAGCUCGGCGUUGUCGGGCGGGCCGGGGGGCAACUUGCGAUGAGUUCGUCAAAUUUUCCCAAGUGCUACUUAUNNNNNNNNNNUGCUACUUAUAUACCCAGGCCUUUGGUCUCGGUUCGUGGCACAAACCGGGACUAAAUGGGGCAUUGGUCUCGGUUGGUGGCACCAACCGGGACCAUAGGUCUCUUUUCAGCAGCCGAAAGGGCGGGAAGCAGAGGCAUAUGGUCCCGAUUGGUGGCACCAACCGGGACUAAAGGGGGGCAUUGGUCACGGUUGGUGACACGAACCGUGACCAAUGCCCCCUUAGUCCCGGUUGGUGCCACCAACCGGGACCAAUGGCCUUGUGCUGCCCCGCGCCCAAAAGUUUAGUCCCACCUCGCUAGUUGAGAGGGCUCGGGAGUGGUUUAUAAGUGCUGCUGCGCCCACCCUCCCGAGCUCCUCUCAACUGCAGGUUUUCGGGCCUAAUCUGUCACCGCAAUGACUGUAGGCCUACUGGGCCUGCUGCGGGCCUGAAUCCUAGCCCAUGGUAGGGUUUCUAGUCGUAUUCAGGCCGUGGUGGCCCAGUAGGUGGCAUUUUUUGUUUUUUUGUUGCUUUAUUUAUUUUCUUUUGUUUUUUGCUUUAUUUUUUAAUUCUUUAUGCUUUUAGUUUUAGAAAAAUUAUAAACUUUUUGUUAAUGCCAUUAGUUUUCAAAUUUGAAAAUAAUUUUUUAGUAUUUUUGUUUUCUUUGUUGCUUUCUUUAUUUUAUUUUGUGAUUAACUUUACUAUAAAAAUAGUUUUUUCCUGUUUUUUUGAUUUGUUUUUUGCAUUAUUUAUUUUAUUUUGUUUUUUGCUUUAAUUUUUAAUUCGGUUUGCUUUUAGGUUAGCAAAAUUAUAAACUUUCUGUUAGUGCCAUUAGUUUUAGAAAAAUUAUAAACUUUCUGUUAGUGCCAUUAGUUUUCAAAUUUGAAAACACUUUUUUGUUUUUUUGUUUUCUUUGUUGCUUUAUUUAUUUUAUUUUGUGAUUAACUUUACUAUAAAAAUAGUUUUUUCCUGUUUUUUUGAUUUGUUUUUUGCAUUAUUUAUUUUCUUUUGUUUUUUGCUUUAAUUUUUAAUUCUGUUUGCUUUUAGGUUAGCAAAAUUAUAAACUUUCUGUUAGUGCCAUUAGUUUUAGAAAAAUUAUAAACUUUUUGUUAGUGCCAUUAGUAUUACGAGGGCCGAACCAUAAGACAUGAAAGCAUUUCAAAUGAACUCUGAAAAAGUUGAAAGUUGGGAUGGUAUCAUAAUUUCACCCACAUAGCAUAUGCAUGUACAAAACGGACAAUGGUAGCAUGUUCGUGUGUUACAAAGUUGCGGGAGAAAGUCUUCACUUUUUCUUCGCUUGUGUCAUUUGCUUAUUGCGCCGUAACCAUGGAUAAUCUUCAUUGUUUAUCAAGAUGCUUGGGUCAGCCUUGACAUUGAAGGGAGGAAUUUCAUGAAACUUUUCAUAAUCUUCAGACAUGUCUGUCUUGCCGUUCACUCCCAGGAUGUCCCUUUUUCCUCAAAGAACUAUGUGGCGCUUUGGCUCAUCGUAUGAUGUAUUCGCUUUCUUAUCUUUUCUUUUUCUCAGUAUGGUAGACAUGUCCUUCACAUAGAUAACCUGUGCCACAUCAUUGGCUAGGACGAAUGGUUCAUCAGUGUACCCAAGAUUUUUUAGAUCCACUGUUGUCAUUCCGUACUGUGGGUCUACCUGUACCCCGCCGCCUAACAGAUUGACCCAUUUGCACUUAAACAAAGGGACCUUAAAAUCAGGUCCGUAGUCAAGUUCCCAUAUGUCCACUAUGUAACCAUAAUAUGUAUCCUUUCCGCUCUUGGUUGCUGCAUCAAAGCGGACACCGUUGUUUUGGUUGGUGCUCUUUUGAUCUUGGGCGAUCGUGUAAAAUGUAUUCCCAUUUAUCUCGUAUCCUUUGUAAGUCAAUACAGUCAAAGAUGGUCCCCUGGACAACAAGUACAACUCAUCACAAACAGUGUUGUCACCUCUGAGACGUGUUUCCAACCAACUGCUGAAAGUCCUGAUGUGUUCACAUGUAAUCCAGUCGUUGCACUGCUCCGGGUGUUUGGAGCGCAGACUGUUCUUGUGUUCAUCGACAUACGGGGUCACCAAGGUAGAGUUCUGUAGAACUGUGUAGUGUGCUUGAGACCAAGAAUAUCCGUCCCUGCAUAUUAUUGAGUCUCUUCCAAGAGUGCCUUUUCCAGUCAGUCUCCCCUCAUACCGCGAUUUAGGGAGACCUAUCUUGUUAAGGCCAGGAAUGAAGUCAACACAAAACUCGAUAACAUCCUCUGUUUGAUGGCCCAUGGAGAUGCUUCCUUCUGGCCUAGCAUGAUUACGGACAUAUUUCUUUAGGACUCCCAUGAACCUCUCAAAGGGGAACAUAUUGUGUAGAAAUACGGGCCCCAGGAUGAUAAUCUCGUCGACUAGAUGAACUAGGACGUGCGUCAUGAUAUUGAAGAAGGAUGGUGGGAACACCAGCUCAAAACUGACAAGACAUUGCGCCACAUCACUCCUUAGCCUUGGUACGAUUUCUGGAUCGAUCACCUUCUGAGAGAUUGCAUUGAGGAAUGCACAUAGCUUCACAAUGGCUAAUCGGACGUUUUCCGGUAGAAGCCCCCUCAAUGCAACCGGAAGCAGAUGCAUCAUAAUCACGUGGCAGUCAUGAGACUUUAGGUUCUGAAACUUUUUCUCUGGCAUAUUUAUUAUUCCCUUUAUAAUCGACGAGAAGCCAGUCGUGACCUUCAUACUGAGCAGGCAUUCAAAGAAGAUUUCUUUCUCUUCUUUCGUAAGAGCGCACUGGCAGGACCUUUAUACUGCUUCGGAGGCAUGCCGUCUUUUUCGUGCAAACAUUGCAGGUCCUCCCGUGCCUCAGGUGUAUCUUUUGUCUUCCCAUACACGCCCAAGCAGCCUAGCAGGUUCACGCAAAGGUUCUUCGUCACGUGCAUCACGUCGAUUGAGGAGUGGACCUCUAGCAAGCACGUGAUCACCGGUGCGCAUGGCGGGCUUCUUCCGGUGAUCUGCCUCGCCUUUGAAAUGCUUGCCUUUCUUUCGACAUUGAUGGUUGGUCGGAAGAAAUCGACGAUGGCCCAGGUACACAUUCUUCCUGCAUUUGUACAGGUAUAUACUUUCAGUGUCAUCUAAACAGUGCGUGCAUGCGUGGUAUCCUUUGUUUGUCUGUCCUGAAAGGUUACUGAGAGCUGGCCAAUCGUUGAUGGUCACGAACAGCAAUGCCUUAAGGUUAAAUUCCUCCUGUCUGUGCUCAUCCCACGUACGUACACCGUUUUCAUUCCACAGCUGUAAAAGUUCUUCAACUAAUGGCCUUAGGUACACAUCAAUUUCAUUGCCGGGUUGCUUAGGGCCUUGGAUGAGAACUGGCAUCAUAAUGAACUUCCGCUUCAUGCACAUCCAAGGAGGAAGGUUAUACAUACAUAGAGUCACGGGCCAGGUGCUGUGAUUGCUACUCCGCUCCCCGAAAGGAUUAAUGCCAUCCGCGCUUAAAGCAAACCAUACAUUCCUUGGGUCCUUUGCAAACUCAUACCAGUACUUUCUCUCGAUUUUUCUCCACUGCGACCCGUCAGCGGGUGCUCUCAACUUCCCAUCUUUCUUUCGGUUCUCACUGUGCCAUCGCAUCAACUUGGCAUGCUCUUCGUUUUUGAACAGACGUUUCAACCGUGGUAUUAUAGGAGCAUACCACAUCACCUUCGCAGGAACCCUCUUCCUGGGGGGCUCGCCGUCAACAUCACCAGGGUCAUCUCGUCUGAUCUUAUACCGCAAUGCACCGCAUACCGGGCAUACGUUCAGAUCCUUGUAUGCACCGCGGUAGAGGAUGCAGUCAUUAGGGCAUGCAUGUAUCUUCUCCACCUCCAAUCCUAGAGGGCAUACGACCUUCUUUGUUGCAUAUGUACUGUCGGGCAAUUCGUUAUCCUUUGGAAGCUUCUUCUUCAAUAUUUUCAGUAGCUUCUCAAAUCCUUUGUCAGCCACAGCAUUCUCUGCCUUCCACUGUAGCAAUUCCAGUACGGUACCGACCUUUGUGUUGCCAUCUUCGCAAUUGGGGUAUAACCCUUUUUUGUGAUCCUCUAACAUGCGAUCGAACUUCAGCUUCUCCUUUUGACUAAUGCAUUGCGUCCUUUCAUCGACAAUGACCCGGCGGAGAUCAUCAUCAUCGGGCACAUCGUCUGGUUCCUCUUGAUCUUCAGCAGCUCCCCCCGUUGCAGCAUCACCGUAUUCAGGGGGCACAUAGUUGUCAUUGUAGUCUUCUUCUUCGCCGUCUUCCAUCAUAACCCCUAUUUCUCCGUGCCUCGUCCAAACAUUAUAGUGUGGCAUGAAACCCUUGUAAAGCAGGUGGGAGGGAAGGAUUUUCAGGUUAGAGUAAGACCUCGUAUUCCCACAUUCAGUGCAUGGACAACACAUAAAACCAUUCUUCUUGUUUGCCUCAGCCGCAUUGAGAAACUCAUGCACGCCCUUAAUGUACUCGCGGGUGUGUCUGUCACCGUACAUCCAUUCCCGGUUCAUCUACGUGCAUUAUAUAUAAUUAAGUGUCCAAAUUAAUAGAAUUUCAUCAUCACAUUAAAACCAAAGUGCAUACAUAGUUCUCAUCUAACAACAUAUAGCUCUCCAGAGCAUCUAGUUAAUUAAACCAUACAUUGAAACUAUGUAAAACAUUUCAAUGCGAAAACAAAUGCGAUCAUAAUCGCAACCAAGGUAACAAUUGAUCCAACGGCAUAAUGAUACCAAGCCUCGGUAUGAAUGGCAUAUUUUCUAAUCUUUCUAAUCUUCAAGUGCAUUGCAUCCAUCUUGAUCUUGUGAUCAUCGACGACAUCCGCAACAUGCAACUCCAAUAUCAUCUUCUCCUCAAUUUUUUUAUUUUUUCCUUCAACAAAUUGUUUUCUUCUUCAACUAAAUUUAACCUCUCGACAAUAGGGUCGGUUGGCAUUUCCGAUUCACAUACAUCCUAGAUAAAUAAAAUCUAUGUCACGUUGGUCGGCAUAAUUUUCAUAAACAAUAAAUGUACCAAUAGUUAUAAAGAUAAUAUACAUACCACAUCCAAAUCAUAGACAGGACGAGGGCCGACGGGGGCGGAUACCAAAACCAUCGCACUAUAUAAGAUGCAAUAAUAAAUGUAAGAAAAUGAUACAAGUAUCUAUCUAAACAUACAAGUAAGAAUAUUUUUCCUUUCAGAAAGAAGAUAAGAACAAGAGGCUCACCACGGUGGUGUUGGUGAUGAGAUCGGCGCAGGUGAUCGACGGCGGUGAAGACGGGGACGGGGCGUGAUGGACCGCUAAAUCUAGACAAAUCUCGAGGAAAAUGGAGCUUGGAGGUCGAGCUUUGAGAGGAGAAAGCUUAAGUAGUGUGGCUCGGGCAUUCCAUCGAACACCUCAUGUGCAUAGGAGGUGAGGUAGAGCACCACAAAGCCCUCUCCCCCUCGGCCAGAGAAAAACAGAGCACUAGGGUGCUCUGCUCGCGAGCGAAGGGUAUAUAUAGGCACCUCAUUGGUCCCGUUUGGUGACAUGAGCCGGGACUAAAGGGGAGCCUUUGGUCCCGGUUUUGGUCCUGGUUCAAGCCACCAACCGGGACUAAUGGUGGUGGGCUAGGAGCGAGGCCCAUUGGUCCCGGUUCAUCCCACCAACCAGGACCAAAAGGUCCAGAUGAAUCGGGACCAAUGGCCCACGUGGCUCGGCCGGCCCCCUGGGCUCACGAGCCGGGACCAAUGCCCACAUUGGUCCCGGUUCUGAACUAAACCGGGACUAAUGGGCUGGCCCGGCCUAGACCAAAGCCCUGUUUUCUACUAGUGUUAGGUUUCUGUUAUUGAAACAACAAAUGAUUCGUGUCUUCUAGCCCAGAAGCAUAAGAAGGACAAAUUGGUGAAACAGUCUGUAGCGACCAGACCUCAAACAGUCCGAUCUCUGUGCUCCGGUGUCAUCCCUGGAUCAGUAAUGCUGACACCACACAGUACUUGGAGGAUUUAUAGUAGAGUAGCAAUCGCACACUUAUUACAUCGAGUGUCUCUAAAGAUAAUUUAUUACAAUAAAUAUGGCUUAAGGCCAUCUAAUAACGAUAACAGCGGAAGGCUUGGAAGAUAAGUGAGUCCAUCAACUCCAACGGCAUCACUGAGUAUAGAACCACGACCUAAAAACUCCUUAAUCGUCGUCUGAAAAGUCCGCAACAUUAACGUUGCAGCCCAAAAAUGGGUCAGCACAUGGAAUAUGCUGGCAAGGUAACACAUAGAGAGUAAUGGAAUGAAACAGCUAUACUAUAUGCAUAUUUGGCUGGUGGAAAGCUUUAUGGUUAUAGUUUUGCGUAAAGCCAAUUUUUCCCUACUUCAAAGGAAUACCAUUUAUUUAACUAUCAUGGUGGUUGUUAAACAUUGAGAAUGGUUGACAGCAUUCUCAAUCCCAAUUAAGCAUCAUCAUUAAUCAAAACCCAACAAAAUUAAUUUAGAGUAACAAGUUGAGAUUCACAUGAUAAUCCAGGUACUAGAUACUCAAGAUGUCCAUAACCGGGGACAUGGCUAACCAUGAUUAGUUUAUUACACUCUGCAGAGGUUUGCGCACUUUUUCCCACAAGACUCGAUCGCCUCCGUUUGUUUUCUCGCACUACAUGGUGUUUGAGAAGACGGAUGACCGAGACAUAGUCUUUCAGAAGCGCUAGCACCUUACGAUCGGGUAGACCGUACCACCUACAUCCCCUACAUCUGCUAGUCUACCACUGUAAGAGUUCGCAUAACUUAGUCAACUAUGCUAGAGCCCAUAAUAGCUUGUGGCUGCACACGGAAGUUUCUAGUAUGAAUAGUCUCAUGAUUCCUUUGAGCCUGGGUGGCGGUCCAAAAGAAAACAGGCAAGUCCUGGAAUAUCCAGGUGCCUCAAUCCACCCAGAUGUGUGUUUAAGUUGCCACCUUAGAUAAACCAUUAAUUAACAAACUCACAUCUGUCAUGGAUUUCACUCACCCAAUCCACGUCUACUAGCAUAGCAUGGCAUAAUAAGCAAACGUAGAAGUAACUCCCAAAGGUUUGAUAAUAAACAGGUAAUAGGUACUACCUCAUCUACUUCCCAUCCCACGGUUUAAUUAGAUCCUAAUAAUGCAAUGUCUGAGGAUUGAUCUAAUGCAAUAAAACUGGGUAGUAGAAAAGGUAUGAUCAAAGUGUUACUUGCCUUGCUGAUGAUUCGAGAAACCUAACGAUUCGAAGUAACAGGCGGCGCACUCCGGGUACUCUAUCGCAGACAAACAAACAAGCAUACAAUAAGUACUCAUCUAAUGCACAGGUAAAACUCAAAUAAGAGAUCUAACCAGAAGGUUCAACUUAAGAACUCCGGUUGGCAAAAAGAAUCAAAUCAAACGAAGCAGAGAAAGUCAAACGGCGAAAGAAAACAACUUCGUCCUAGUAAUCUGGAUCAAAGUCAAAUUUUACAGUAGCAAAAACUUGUUUAAGUUGAUUAUUCGGAUAGAGGGUUUCGAGACGAAACUCCAGGCGCUUGAAUCGUCUGAUUCCGAUAAACGAGUGAAAAGUUAUACUAAAACAAAAAUCGGAUCAGAAAUCGCGAUCAGAAAAUAACCGCGAAAAAUCCGACGAAAAAGAAAAACGACAAACGGAUUAAUUCGUUAAUUAACCUAAUCUGAAAAUAAUAAAAUAAUAAAAAACCGAAAAUAAAACCGACGAAAAUCAUUCGGUUUUUUCUAAAAAAACGACACGGAUUUCGAGGCGGCGGAGAACCUCGGGCGACACGCGUCGUGGCGGCGGCGGCGGCUCCAGCGGGCGGGUGGGCUGGCAGCGGCGGUUAUGGGCUGGGGGCUCGGGUGCGGCGCUAUUUAAAGGCGUCCCCCGGGCGGAGUCCCGCUCGGGCACGGCCCAAGGUCGGUUUCGUUUUUUUAAAUAAUUACGCUCGGAAGAAAAAUAAAAAGAAAUACUAAACGGUCUCCAAAAAUUCCGAAAUAAAUUUUCCCGGGCUUCUAAAAUCAAGCCCGACGAAGUGAACAUUUAUUUGGGCCCUAAAUGCAAUUUUGAAAAACGCGCAUUUUUCCUAAAUUCAAAUAAAAAUAUCGAAAAACUCCGAAAUAAAUCUUAUUUGAUUUUAUUAUUAAAUCCUCAAUAUUUCUAUAUUUUGGGAAAGUCAUUUUAUUCCCUCUCUCAUAUUUUUGUAAUAGAAAUAAUCGAUGAUAAAAUAAAUAAAAUCAAAUGAUGCUAUUUUCAAAAUUUGAGAAAACUCACAUAUGAAAAUAACGAAAUCCCCAACUCUCUUCAUGGGUCCUUGAGUUGCUUAGAAUUUUCUAGGAUCAAAACCCAAAAGCAAAUAAAAUAUGAUAUGCAUGAUGAUCUAAUGUAUAACAUUCCAAAUUGAAAAUUUGAGAUGUUACACAGUCUAUUGACAAGCGUAACAUGACAUAGGAGAGUACCAUGCAGCGCCCAUAAAAAAAUUUCCAUUUUUGCCGGACAAGAUAAAUUUGAAAUCUUGCACCAAAUGGGAAUAAAUUUGGUUCGACCCAUUCCAUUUGUAUGACAGAGUUUCCUUCCAUGUUGGUAAUCUCAUUCAACAAAAUGUGUAGAACGAACAUAUUUUUUUCCAUUCUUAGUAUAACUCCAGACAAUAAAAUCUGACGUGUCAAACAGAGGGAGGGGGAUAUUGAAGGAAAUAUGCCCUAGAGGCAAUAAUAAAGUUGUUAUUUUAUAUUUCCUUAUUCAUGAUAGAGGUUUAUUAUCCAUGCUAGAAUUGUAUUGAUCGGAAACCUUAAUACAUGUGUGAAUACAUAAACAAACACCGUGUCCCUAGUGAGCCUCUACUAGACUAGCUCGUUGAUCAAAGAUGGUUAAUGUUUCCUAACCAUGGACAUGAGCUGUCAUUUGAUAACGGGAUUACAUCGUUAGGAGAAUGAUGUGAUGGACAAGACUCAUCUGUUAGCUUAGCAUAAUGAUUUUUCAGUUUUAUUGCUAUUGAUUUCUUCAUGUCAAAUACAUAUUCCUUCGACUAUGAGAUUAUGCAACUCUCGGAUACCGGAGGAAUACCUUGUGUGCUAUCAAACGUCACAACAUAACUGGGUGACUAUAAAGAUGUCCUAUAGGUAUCUCCGAAGGUGUUUGUUGAGUUGGCAUAUAUCGAGAUUAGGAUUUUCCACUCCGAGUUUCGGAGAGGUAUCUCUGGGUCCUCUCGGUAAUACACAUUAUAAGCUUGCAAGCAAAUGACUUAGGAGUUGGUCACGAGAUGAUGUAUUACAGAACGAGUAAAGAGACUUGCCAGUAACGAGAUUGAACUAGGUAUGAUGAUACCGAUGAUCGAAUCUCGGCAAGUAACAUACCGAUGGACAAAGGGAAUUACAUAUGUUGUCAUAACACACUACUGCAGGAUGCUGCUAAUGUAACACUACGAUCAGAGACCCUUCGACAAAACUGUGUGCGAUGCAAUAAUCGCAAACGGUGGUGUAAAAAAACCAUCAAAAAAGGUGCAAAACGUUUGCGAUGGUGGAUGCAUCAAACACGGUUUAGAUUUUAGUCGCGUGUGCGAUGCAGGGCAUACGAUUCAGUUCAAUUAACUGUUUGCGAUGAGGAGGAACAAAAGAAACAUGCAGUCAGAUGAAGGUGUGUGCGAUAUACAACAUACAGUUCACUCAGAUGAACUGUUUGUGAUUAGGCAACACAAAAGAAACGGUCAUCCAGAUCAAGAUGUGUGCGAUAUAUGGCAUGCGGUUCAAUCGGAUGAACUGUUUGCUUUGAGCCAAGAGAACAAAACGGUUCAAUAUAACAAGAUGUGUGUGAUACGCGGUAAACGGGACUGUAGUCGGAAACGUGUGGGAAGACCUAUAACAACACAGAUGAUUCCUGUUAACAAGCCGUGUGUGUUGUGAGCAAACGAUUGCUGGUAUACAAUUGUGAGUGAUUGAUGAAAACAUCACCGACGGGUUCCAUUGUUUAGUCCGUGUGUGAUGUGAUUUUCUUUCUCCGCACAACAUAUAUACUUGAAAAGACAGAUUGCAUUGCAUAACCAAAUUAAGCAUACAAUUACACAAGUGACUACACACAUAACAUUUCCACACAGCAAAGUAAGCAAUUAAAUGCAUACUAAACUAGGAGAAACGAGGAUCUAAUCAUCUACUUAUUGUUGCGACGACGCUUGCCAUUGCUCUGCUUUUGGCUGGAUCCCUGGUCGUUUUGGGGAAGGAGGCACUUCCUCAUGUCAAUGAUCCGCCUGUACAUGUCGUAUCUCGUGUAUGCCUCCUUGGCCGCGUACACGAGUAUCUCCAUCCAGGCCAAGUUCCAGGCACGCUUGUCCUCGUUGCAGGAAUCCUUCAUGUGUUUGUAGUAGGGGUCGAUGAUGGCCUUGACGAGGUGAACCAGUGAGUCCUUCUCAUGCUCCUUGCUCCCCCAGAUCUUGUAUUGGCCCUGGAUGUCGACAAGAUUCUGGCAGGCGAUGCCCGAAUUCUCGAGCGCCUUUACAUCGUUGGUGAUGUCCACCGUAGCGAACAUGUAGUGGGGGCUGUUGACAAACCUGGUGAAAUGCUCGCAAGGCCUUGUGGCCAGGCAGUAGUGGUAGACAAGGACGUGGUGGCGCACACACAUCUGGGCGACGGCGACCUGGGGAUGAGACCCGGCACAAGCGCGGGUGUACUCGAGGUCGAACCCGACCACCUUGUACUUCUCCUAAGCAAGCAACAACUCCAUGAUGUGGAUGGAGUGCUCCACCCAGACUGGGUCGUUGGUGUACACCAUCGAGAGGUCUGUGAACCUUCUUGGUGGGUGUGCUUCUUGCAUUGGUGGGGCGCGAUCGAAAGGUUGAAGAGACACAAGGGUUAAAUGGUCACUGUAAUAAUGGGGGUUGACCAGCCUGUAAUCGUCAUGUCUUGUCACGACGUUCAUAGCGGAGGAUUCUAGUGCAUGCUUGACAACACCGCACCGCACACAUUUCGUUUGACCACGCGUGGGCUCGAAGAGGCGCCAAAUGUAUCAUCAGUGAGCCAAUUCCCGUGCUACCACGCAGUUUACCGUGCUAGCUUCCCACCCCGGCUAGUUUGUCCACGCCUCGGCUAGAAGAGGGGCAUUUAUUGGCAAAAAGUUUUGUAAAAACAAAGUGUGUGGAAUGACUUCGGUCAUAAUUUUACCCAUGGGUGAUGAGGUCAAAGUUACAUAGAAGGGUGAUGAUGGACACUCGAGUGUGAUAAUUAAUUCUGCGCUCUACAGGGCACACGGUUGAAGAAACCAACUGUGUGCAAUAAUGUCGAAGAUCGCGGUCGAGUUAGCUAUACAGAUCGUGUGCUGUGAGGCCGACAAGGUAAACAUAUUCGAGAAUGGUUAAUAAAAUCUAAGACCAUUGCAUCUUAAGGUCAAAAUAGUGCUACCAAUAUACGAGACUCGUACGAUGCCAUUUCAAUGAUUGGAACACAAAAGCUCGAAAUAUUACAAGGUUCAAAUUCCAGAGUUAUAUGGCUCAAAUUCGAAGAUUACAAGGUUCAAACUGAUAUUAGAAAUGAAAUUCAGCUCAUCGGCUGCAAACGCUCGCGCUGAUCCACUAAACAUGGAUAUCAGAGAGGUUCAAACUAAUAUUACCACUUCUAAGUCUGGUUUUGAAACAUCAUAAUUUUUGCAAAGGGGUCAGCCACUGAGAAGUCAUGUAUGGGGUUGACACGACGACUUCCGAUUACUCUGUCAUCUGAAGUUCCAAAUUGAAAUUCAGCAUUUUUGGAGCCUAUUCCAUUCUGCCGCAGGCGCCGGCGCUGAUCAACAAACCAUUCAUUUUUGCGAAAUAAAUGUAGGGCAAACCUCAUUACCUUCAACACCUUUGCUCUCAAAACAAAGAACCUAGUGAAUAUAAUCUCCGGUAAGGUCCCUCGGUAGGCAUUCAAAGUAAUUUCUGAGAGAUGUAGAUCUAGGCAUUCGAUGUGAUUGUUAUAUUGUAUCACAUUAUCCACCAUUGGGCCUAAUCUUAUCUGCAAAAGUAGAAAACGUGGUAGUGCUUACAUGAAGUUUUGAACACUACUACAUGCCUAUUUGGUUUGCAGGAUUUGUAAAAUGCACUAACAUGUCAUCUUCAAUCUGACAUAACUAUUGGGUAUGACCCGCCUAGGAGGGGCCAGGUCAUGCCACUGGCGGUUUAAAGAUGAAGAAGCCCGAUAAGGUCCAAGAAGAUAUGUAGAUGGCGGUUCACAGAGCAAGCCAUUGAAGGCCCAAGACCCGGAGACGACUUGAGGCCCACGGGUGUGAGCCGCCAUAUUGUUAACUUGUUCUAUAAGGCAAGCUUAGUUAGAAACCGAGCUAGUCACGUUCGUGUGAGACGGACGGAACUCUGUAAGCCGCUGGGAAUCAACCUGUAUAUAAAGGGGUGACACGAUGGCGGGUUAACUCAAGAAACAACUGAACGAGAACUAGGUCAAGCGUAUUCGCUCCCUGGUAAUCGAAACCUGAGUAAUACAACCUUAACCAGGAGUAGGCUUUUACCUCAUUGAGAGGGCCCAAACCUAGGUAAACUCCCUGCGUCCUUUGUCCCGUUUAACCCCUUCAAGCUAACCUAGCUGCGAUGGCUCCACACCUAAGUCCGUUUGCUAGGGCAUCUAUCGUGUUAAGUCCACGAUAGUUGGCACCCACCGUGGGGCCAGCGCACGGUGGUUUCGAGUUCUUGAAGGGCAACUUCGCAGGGAUCAAGAGAUACGCCGUCGGUUGGAUGACUAAAAGCCGUCAAGGCAAGCUCUACAUCGACGAUGCUGGCUGGGGCCCUGAGGCCGGCUCAAUCAAGUACAGGUACCGGGUCCCCUUUGGCGGAAUCCACGUCUUCAUUGGCAAGAUCGGUGAGUUGGAGCCUGAGCCGGACACCUGCACCGACAUCAUCGAGACGGCUCAGCGUGCACGACCUGCCAAGGUUCAAGUCACCGUGAAGCACGCUUUUGUGGGUUUUACUCACGGAGUGGAUCUUGAGUAAGGAUCUGUGUCUGGUGGAGAGACAACCAUCUAUUCUGGUGACGAGUCCUCAACCGGCGAGACCAAUUCCAUAUAUCAAUUGUGAGAUGGUGGGCUUGGCGGGCUGUCCCAAUGGCGACAGUAUUCCGGACCACUAUGAGCCGCCGAAUAGGGUUGCGAUCUUCAUGGCCGACACACAACCGGUGCUCAAUUCGACAACUACUGCGGCUAUGACCUCCAGUUCAAAAGCUGCGGCGACUGUCGGGGCAAGCGGUUCUACGCGCCCGCCGCUCAAGUGUUAUCCGAGCUCUUGGAGGCUUUGGCGACCUUAUUGGCUGCAGAGGUGACACCAGAAAAUCAAGCACAUCAUAAGGUGGAUGUUGCGAAACUGCGAGAUGAGAUAGCUCAAGCUAAGGAGGAGUUUAAUGUAGAGAAUGCUAGGAUGGCAACAGAAUGAGCUGCUUUGGACGCUGCGACACAACUAUUGGGGAACGUAGCAUGCAAUUUCAAAAAAAUUCCUACGAUCACGCAAGAUCUAUCUAGGAGAUGCAUAUCAACGAGAGGGGUAGAGUGUGUCCACGUACCCUCAUAGACCGAAAGCAGAAGCGUUAGUUUAACAUAGUUGAUGUAGUCGAACGUCUUCGUGAUCCAACCGAUCAAGUACCGAACGCACGAUACCUCUGAGUUCAGCACACAUUCAGCUUGAUGACGUCCCUCAAACUCUUGAUCCAGCAAAGUGUCGAGGGAGAGUUUUGUCAGCACGACGGCGUGGUGACGGUGAUGGUGAUGUGAUCCACACAGGGUUUCGCCUAGGCACUAUGACAAUAUGACCGGAGGAGUAAACUACGGAGGGGGGCACCGCACACGGCUAAGAAACAAUUGAUGUGCAUUGGGGUGCCACCCUGCCCCCGUAUAUAAAGGAGGAGAGGGGAGGAGGCCGGCCCUAGGGGGCGCGCCAAGUAGGGAGAAACCCACUAGGACUCCUAGUCCUAGUCGACCCCCAUUUCCUUCUUUCGGAGGGGGAAAUGGGGAAGGAGAGGGAGAGGAAGAAGGAAAGGGGGCCGUGCACCCUCCCCUUGUCCAAUUCGGACUCCCCAUGGGGGGCACCCCUUGUGGGCUGUCCUCUCUCUCCCCUAUGGCCCAUGUGGCCCAUUACCUCCCCCCCGGGGGGGGGGGGGUUCUGGUAACCCCUCGGUACUCCGAUAAAUAUUCGAAACACUCCGAAACCAUUCCGGUGUCCGAAUACUAACGUCCAAUAUAUCAAUCUUUAUCUCUCGGCCAUUUCAAGACUCCUCAUCAUGUCCAUGAUCUCAUCCGGUGACCAAAAUAUCUUCGGUCACCAAAACACAUAACUCAUAAUACAAAUCGUCAUCGAACGUUAAGCGUGCGGACCUCUAUGGGUUCGAGACCUAUGUAGACAUGAACGAGACACAUCUCUGAUCAAUAACAAACAGCGGAACCUGGAUGCUCAUAUUGGUUCCUACAUAUUCUACAAAGAACUUUAUCGGUCAAACCGCAAUGACAACAUACGUCAUUCCCUUUGUUAUCGGUAUGUUACUUGCCUGAGAUUCGAUCGUCGGUAUCCGCAUACCUAGUUAAAUCUUGUUACCGACAAGUCUCUUUACUUGUUCCGUAAUGCAUCAUACCGUAACUAACUCAUUAGUCACAUUGCUUGCAAGGCUUAUCAUGAUGUGCAUUACCGAGAGGUCCCAGAGAUACCUCUCCGAUACUCGGAGUGACAAAUCCUAAUCUCAAUCUAUGCCAACCCAACAAACACCUUCGGAGACACCUGUAGAGCAUCUUUAUAAGAACCCAGUUAUGUUGUGACGUUUGAUAGUACACAAGGUGUUCCUCUUUUAUGCGGGAGUUGCAUAAUCUCAUAAUCAAAGGAAUAUGUAUAAGUUAUGAAGAAAGCAAUAGGAAUAAUACUUAACGAUCAUUAUGCUAAGCUAACGAGUGGGUCUUGUCCAUUACAUCAUUAUCCUAAUGAUGGGAUCCCGUUUAUCAAAUGACAACACAUGUCUAUGGUCAGGAAACUUAACCAUCUUUGAUUAACAAGCUAGUCAAGUAGAGGCAUACUAGGGAUACUUUGUUUUGUCUAUGUAUUCACACAUGUAUCAAGUUUCCGGUUAAUACAAUUCUACCAUGAAUAAUAAACAUUUAUCAUGAUAUAAUGAAAUAUAAAUAACAACUUUAUUAUUGCCUAUAGGGCAUAUUUCCUUCAGUCUCCCACUUGCACUAGAGUCAAUAAUCUAGAUUACAUUGUAAUGAUUCUAACAUCCAUGGAGUCUUGGUGCAGAUCAUGUUUUGCUCAUGGAAGAGGCUUAGUCAACGGGUCUGCAACAUUCAGAUCCGUAUGUAUUUUGCAAAUCUCUAUGUCUCCCUCCUUGACUUCAUCACGGAUGGAGUUGAAGCGUCUCUUGAUGUGUUUGGUUCUCUUGUAAAAUCUGGAUUCCUUUGUUAAGGCAAUUGCUCCAGUAUUGUCACAAAAUAUUUUCAUUGGACCCGAUGCACUAGGUAUUACACCUAGAUCGGAUAUUAACUCCUUCAUCUAGAUUCCUUCAUUUGCUGCUUCCGAAGCAGCUAUGUACUCCGCUUCACACGUAGAUCCCGCCACAAUGCUCUCCUUGGAACUACACCAAUUGACAAUUCCACCAUUCAAUAUAAAUACGUAUCCGGUUUGCAACUUAGAGUCAUCCGGAUCAGUGUCAAAUCUAGCAUCAACAUAACCAUUUUACGACGAGCUCUUUGCCACCUCCAUAAACGGUAAACAUAUCCUUAGUCCUUUCAGGUAUUUCAGGAUGUUCUUGACCGCUGUCCAGUGAUCCACUCCUGGAUUACUUUGGUACCUCCCUGCUAAACUUAUAGCAAGACACACAUCAGGUUUGGUACACAGCAUUGCAUACGUGAUAGAACCUAUGGCUGAGGCAUAGGAAAUGACUUUCAUUUUCUCUCUAUCUCCUGCAGUGGUCGGGCAUUAAGUUUGACUCAACUUCACACCUUGUAACACAGGCAAGAACCCUUUCUUCGACUGAUCCAUUUUGAACCUCUUCAAAACUUUAUCAAGGUAUGUGUUUUGUGAAAGUCGAAUUAAGUGUCUUGAUCUAUCUCUAUAGAUCUUGAUGCCUAAUAUAUAAGCAGCUUCACCGAGGUCUUUCAUUGAAAAAUUCUUAUUCAAGUAUCCUUUUAUGCUAUCCAGAAAUUCUAUAUCAUUUCCAAUCAACAAUAUUUCAUCCACAUAUAAUAUUAGAAAUGCUACGGAGCUCCCACACACUUUCUUGUAAAUACAGGCUUCUCCAAAAGUCUGUAUAAAACCAUAUCCUUUGAUCACACUAUCAAAGCGUAUAUUCCAACUCCGAGAUGCUUGCACCAGUCCAUAAAUGGAUCGCUGGAGCUUGCACACUUUAUUAGCACAUUUAGGAUCGACAAAACCUUCUGGUUGCAUCAUAUCCAACUCUUCUUUAAGAAAACCAUUAAGGAAUGCGGUUUUGACGUCCAUUUGCCAAAUUUCAUAAGUAUAAAAUGUGCAAUUGCUAACAUGAUUUGGACAGACUUAAGCAUCGCUACGGGUGAGAAGGUCUCAUCGUAGUCAGCUCCUUGAACUUGUCGAAACCCUUUCGCAACAAGUCGAGCUUUGUAGACAGUAACAUUACCGUCAGCAUCAGUCUUCCUCUUGAAUAUCCAUUUAUUCUCUAUGGCUUACCGAUCAUCGGUAAAGUCAACCAAAGUCCAUACUUUGUUCUAAUACAUGGAUCGCAUCUCAAAUUUCAUGGCCUCAAGCCAUUUUGCGGAAUCUAGGCUCAUCAUCGCUUCUUCAUAGUUUGUAGGUUCGUCAUGGUCUAGUAACAUGAUUUCCAGAACAGGAUUACCGUACCACUCAGGUGCGGAACAUACUUUGGUUGACCUACGAGGUUCGGUAGUAACUUGAUCUGAAGUUUCAUGAUCAUUAUCAUUAGCUUCCUCACUAAUUGGUGUAGGCAUGACUGGAACUAGUUUCUAUGAUAACUACUUUCCAAUUCGAGAGAAGGUACAAUUACCUCAUCAAGUUAUACUUUCCUCCCACUCACUUCUUUUGAGAGAAACUCCUUCUCCAGAAAGGAUCCAUUCUUAGCAACAAAUAUCUUGCCUUCGGAUCUGUUAUAGAAGGUGUACCCACCAGUUUCUUUUGGGUGUCCUAUGAAGACGCACUUCUCCGAUUUGGGUUCGAGCUUAUCAGGCUGAAGCCUUUUCACAUAAGCAUCACAACCCCAAACUUUAAGAAACGACAACUUAGGUUUCUUGCCAAACCACAGUUCAUAUGGUGUCGUCUCAAUAGAUUUAGAUGGUGCCCUAUUUAACAUGAAUGCAGCUGUCUCUAAUGCAUAACCACAGAACGAUAGUGGUAAAUAGGUAAGAGACAUCAUAGAUCGCACCAUAUCUAAUAAAGUACAGUUACGACGUUCGGACACACCAUUACGCUGUGGUGUUCCAGGUGGCGUGAGUUGCAAAACUAUUCCACAUUAUUUUAAAUGAAGACCAAACUCAUAAUUCAAAUAUUCGCCUCCGCGAUUAGAUCAUAGAAACUUUAUUUUCUUGUUACAAUGAUUUUCUACUUCACUCUGAAAUUCUUUGAACUUUUCAAAUGUUUUAGACUUGUGUUUCAUUAAAUAGAUAUACCCAUAUCUGCUCAAAUCAUCUGUGAAGGUCAGAAAAUAACGAUACCCGCCGCGAGCCUCAACACUCAUCGGACCGCAUACAUUAGUAUGUAUUAUUUCCAAUAAGUCAGUGGCUCGAUCCAUUGUUCCGGAGAGCGGAGUCUUAGUCAUCUUGCCCAUGAGGCAUGGUUCGCAAGUAUCAAGUGAUUCAUAAUCAAGUGAUUCCAAAAGCCCAUCUGUAUGGAGUUUCUUCAUGCGCUUUACACCAAUAUGACCUAAACGGCAGUGCCACAAAUAUGUUGCACUAUCAUUAUUAAUUUUGCAUCUUUUGGCAUCAAUAUUAUGAAUAUGUGUAUCACCACGGUCGAGAUUCAAUAAAAAUAGACCACUCAUCAAGGGUGCAUGACCAUAAAAGAUAUUACUCAUAUAAAUAGAACAACCAUUAUUCUGUGAUUUAAAUGAAUAACCGUCUCGCAUCAAACAAGAUCCAGAUAUAAUGUUAAUGCUCAACGCUGGCACCAAAUAAAAAUUAUUCAGGUCUAAAACUAAUCCCGAAGGUAGAUGUAGAGGUAUCAUGCCGACGGCGAUCACAUCGACCUUGGAACCAUUUCUGACGCGCAUCGUCACCUCAUCCUUAGCCAAUCUUCGUUUAAUCCGUAGCCCAUGUUUCAAGUUGCAAAUAUGAGCAACAGAACCAGUAUCAAAUACCCAGGUACUACUACGAGCAUUAGUAUGGUAUACAUCAAUAACAUGUAUAUCAAAUAUACCUUUGUUCACUUUGCCAUCCUUCUUAUCUACCAAAUACUUGGGGCAGUCCCGCUUCCAGUGACCAGUCUCUUUGCAGCUGAAGCACUCAAUUUCAGGCUUAGGUCCAGAGUUGGGCUUCUUCCCGGGAGUAGCAACUUUCUUGCUAUUAUUCUUGAAGUUCCCUACUUUCCUGUUGCCCUUUUUCUUGAAACUAGUGGUCUUGUUAACCGUCAACACUUGAUGCACCUUCUGGAUUUCUACCUCCGCAGCCUUGAGCACUACGAAGUUCUCGGGAAUUGUCUUGCUCAUCCCUUGCAUAUUAUAGUUCAUCACGAAGACUUUAUAGCUUGGUGGCAGUGAUUCAAGAACUCUGCCAAUAACACUAUCAUCCGGAAUAUUAACUCCCAGCUGAGUCAAGUGGUUAUGGUACUAGACAUUCUGAGUAUGUUUUCACUGACAGAACUGUUCUCCUCCAUCUUGCAGCUAUAGAACUUGUUGGAGACCUCAUAUCUCUCAACUCGGGAAUUUGCUUGAAAUAUUAACUUCAACUCCUGAAACAUCUCAUAUGCUCCAUGAUGUGCAAAACGUCUUUGAAGUCUUGAUUCUAAGCCGUAAAGCAUGGCACACUGAACUAUCGAGUAGUCAUCAGAUUUAGCUUGCCAGACAUUCAAAACAUCAACAGUUGCUCCUGCAGCAGGCCUUGCACCUAGCGGUGCAUCAAAGACGUAAUUCUUAUGUGCAGCAAUGAGGAUAAUCCUCAAGUUACGAACCCAGUCCGUGUAGUUGCUACCAUCAUCUUUCAACUUAGCUUUCUCUAGGAACGCAUUAAAAUUCAAGGGAACGGUAGCACGGGCCAUUGAUCUACAACAUAGAUAUGCAAAUACUAUCAGGACUAAGUCCAUGAUAAAUUAAGUUCAAUUAAUCAUAUUACUUAAGAACUCCCACUUAGAUAGACAUCCCUCAAGUCAUCUAAAUGAUCACGUGAUCCAUAUCAACUAAACCAUGUCCGAUCAUCAUGUGAGAUGGAGUAGUUUUGAAUGGUGAACAUCUCUAUGUUGAUCAUAUCUACUAUAUGAUUCACGUUCGACCUUUCGGUCUCAGUGUCCCAAGGCCAUGUCUGUACAUGCUAGGCUCGUCAAGUUUAACCCGAGUAUUCUGCCCAUGCAAAACUGUCUUGCACCCAUUGUAUGUGAACGUAGAGCUUAUCACACCCAAUCAUCACGUGGUGUCUCGUCAGGAUGAACUGUCGCAACGAUGCAUACUUAGGGAGAACACUUAUACCUUGAAAUUUAGUGAGGGAUCAUCUUAUAAUGCUACCGUCGUACUAAGCAAAAUAAGAUGCAUAAAAGAUAAACAUCACAUGCAAUCAAAAUAUGUGACAUGACAUGGCCAUCAUCAUCUUGUGACUUCGGUCUCCAUCUCCAAACCACCGUCAUGAUCUCCAUCGUCACCGGCUUGACACCUUGAUCUCCAUUGUAGCGUCGUUGUCAUCUCGCCAACUAUUUCUUCUACAACUAUCGUUGCCACAUAGUGAUGAAGUAAAGCAAUUACAUGGCGAUUGCAUUUUAUACUAUAAAGCGACAACCAUAAGGCUCCUGCCAGUUGCCGCUAACUUCUACAAAACAUGAUCAUAUCAUACAAUAACUUAUAUCACAUCAUGUCAUGACCAUAUCACAUCAGAACAUGCCCUGCAAAAACAAGUUAGACGUCCUCUACUUUGUUGUUGCAAGUUUUACGUGGCUGCUAUGGGCUUCUAGCAAGAACUGUUCUUACCUACGCAUCAAAACCACAACGAAUUCUCAUCAAGUGUGUUUUUUUAACCUUCAACAAGGACCGGCCAUAGUCAAAUUUGAUCAACUAAAGUUGGAGAAAUAGACACCCACCAGCCACCUUUAUGCAAAACAAGUUGCAUGUCUGUCAGUGGAAUGGGUCUCAUGAACGUGGUCAUGUAAGGUUGGUUCGGGCCGCUUCAUCCAACAAUACCGCCGAAUCAAAAUAAGACGUUGGUGGUAAGCAGUAUGACUAUUAUCUCCCAGAACUCUUUCUGUUCUACUUGUGCAUAUCAUCUACGCAUAGACCUGGCUCGGAUGCCACUGUUGGGCAACGUAGCAUGCAAUUUCAAAAUAAUUCCUACAAUCACGCAAGAUCUAUCUAGGAGAUGCAUAGAAACGAGAGGGGGAGAGUAUGUCUAUGUACCCUCGUAGACUGAAAGCGAAAGAGUUAGGUUAACGCGGUUGAUGUAGUAGAACGUCUUCACGAUCCAACCUAUCUAGUACCGAACGUAUGGCACCUCCGAGUUCAGCACACGUUCAGCUCGAUGACGUCCCUUGAACUCUUGAUCCAGCAGAGGGUCGAGGGAGAGUUUCAUCAGCACGACGACAUGGUGACGGUGAUAGUGAUGUGAUCCGCACAGGGCUUCGCCUAAGCACUACGACGCUAUGACCGGAGGAGUAAAUUAUGGAGGGGGCACCACACACGGCUAAGAGAAUAACUGUUGUGCUUUGGGGUGCCCCUGCCCCCGUAUAUAAAGGAGGGAGGAGGAGGCCAGCCACCAAGGGGAGCGCCAAGGGGGGGAGUCCUAGUAGGAUUCGCCCCCCCCCUUUUUCCUUUCUCAUCGGAGGGGAAAAGGGAAGGAGAGGGAGAGGGAGAGGGAAAGAGGAAAGGGGGCCGCGCCCCCUCCCCCUUGUCCAAUUCGGACUCCCUUGGGCGGGGGGGGGGGCACCUUGCGGGCUCCACUCUCUUUCUCCCCUAUGGCCCAUGAAGGCCCAUUACUUCCCGGGGGGUUCCAGUAACCCCUUGGUACUCCAAUAAAUAUUCGAAACGUCCUGAAAUCAUUCCGUUUUCCGAAUACUAUCGUCCAAUAUAUCAAUCUUUACCUCUUGACCAUUUUGAGACUCCUCGCCAUCUCCAUGAUCUCAUUCGGGACUUCAAACAUACUUCGGUCACCAAAACACAUAACCCUUAAUACAAAUCAUGAUCGAACGUUAAGCGUGCGGACCCUACGGGUUCGAGAACUAUGUAGACAUGACCGAGACACAUCUCCGAUCAAUAACCAACAGCGGAAUCUGGAUGCUCAUAUUGGUUCCUACAUAUUCUACGAGGAUCUUUAUCGGUCACACCGCAAUAACAACAUACGUUAUUCCCUCAGUCAUUGGUAUGUUACUUGCCCGAGAUUCGAUCGUCGGUAUCAUCAUACCUAGUUCAAUCUCGUUACCAGCAAGUCUCUUUACUCGUUCCGUAAUGCAUCAUCCCGUAAUUAACUCAUUUAUCACAUUGCUUGCAAGGCUUAUAGUGAUGUGCAUUAACGAGAGGGCUCAGAGAUACCUCUACGAUACUCGGAGUGACAAAUCCUAAUCUUGAUCCAUGCCAACCCAACAAACACCUUUGGAGACACCUGUAGAGCAUCUUUAUAAUCAUCCAGUUACGUUGUGACGCUUGAUAGCACACAAGGUGUUCCUCCGGUAUUCGGGAGUUGCAUAAUCUCAUAGUCAAAGGAAUAUGUAUAAGUCAUGAAGAAAGCAAUAGCAAUAAAACUUAACGAUCAUUAUGCUAAGCUAACGAAUGGGUCUUGUGUUGGGGAACGUAGCAUUUCAAAAAUUUCCUACGACGACGCGAGAUCUAUCUAGGAGAAGCAUAGCAACGAGCGGGGAGAGUGUGUCCACGUACCCUCGUAGACCGAAAGCGGAAGCGUUUAGUAACGCGGUUGAUGUAGUCGAACGUCUUCGUGAUCCAACCGAUCCAAGUACCGAACGUAAGGCACCUCCGGGAUCAGCACACAUUCAGCUCGAUGACGUCCCUCAAACUCUUGAUCCAGUUGAGGCCGAGGGAGAGUUCCGUCAGCACGACGGUGUGGUGACAGCGAUGAUGAAGUUACCGAUGCAGGGCUUCACCUAAGCACUUCAACAAUAUGAUCGAGGUGUGUAACUGUGGAGGGGGGCACCACACACGGCUAAAAGAUCAACUUGUGUGUCUUUGGGGUGCCCCUGCCUCCGUAUAUAAAGGAGGGAGAGGGAGAGGCAGUUGGCCCUAGGGGGCGCGCCAAGGUGUGGAGUCCUACUAGGACUCCCUAUUCCUAGUAGGAUUCCACCUCCCACACGGAGUUGGAAAGGGGGAAGGGAGAAGGAGCGGGAAAGGGGGGCCGGCCCCCUUCUCCUAGUCCUAAUCGGCCUCCUGAUAAUCCCCAAGUACAGGGAAUCAUCGUAGCAAUUCCCAAUGGUGGAAGUGAUAAGUAUGGAGUGUCGAAUCCACAAGGAGCUAAAUGUAAGAUCAAUAUUCUCUCAAGCCCUAUCUGCCACUGAUACGACUCUACGUACACCGAACGUUUGCUUCCAACUAGAAACGAGAAAUAAAACUAUGUUGUGGGUAUGAAGAGGAUAACUUUGCAUGAUAUCGGAGCUAAAACAUAAAAGUAGGUGUUGUUAUCAUAAAGUUAGAAUAUAUUACUAAAUAUUAUAAAUAGCGAGUGUGGAAUAAUGGUGGAUCGGUGUGCGGAAUUGUCUUAGGCAAUUGUUAACAAGACCGGUGGUCAUCAUUGCAAUUUCAUAUGAGGGAGAGGCAUAAGCUAACAUACUUUCUCUUCUUGGAUCAUAUGCACUUAUGAUUGGAACUCUAGAAAGCAUCCGCAACUACUAAAGAUCAUUAAGGUAAAACCCAACCAUAGCAUUAAAGCAUCAAGUCCCCUUUAUCCCAUACGCAACAACCCCCUUACCCGGAUUUAUGCUUAUGUCACUCAAGCAACCCAGUAUAAGCGAAUCAUGAAUGUAUUGCAACACCCUCACGACACGGAGGGCACAAUAGGACAGCACCAAAAUAAAACAUACAACUCAUACCAAUCUAGAUCAUCAAUCAACCCAAAGAAAAAGGAUAUCUACUCAAAACAUCAUAGGAUGGCAACACAUCAUUGGAUCAUAAUAUGUGGCAUAAAGCACCAUGUUCAAGUAGGGAUUACAACGGGGUGCGGGAGAGUGGACCGCAUAAAAGAGAUGAGGAUGGUGAUGGUGAUGUUGAUGAAAAUGAUCACCAUGGCGAUGAUUCCCCUCCCGAUGGCACUCAGGUGCCACCAAGAGAGAGGAGGAGAGGUUCUCCCCCUUGUGCUUCCUCCUCCAUGGCCUCCCCCUGGAUGGGGAGAGGUUCUCCCUCUGGUCCUUGGCCUUCAUGACGAUGAUGGCCCCUCCGAGAUCCUCCUCCAUACCCUCCGGUGAUGAUAGCCCCCUCCGACAAGGUGCUAGAGAGGACCUAUAUUGAUUUCUCAUGGCUACAGAGGCUUGUGGCGGCGGGACUUCCGAUCUAGGUUAAUUUCUAGAGGUUUGGGUAUUUAUAGGAGAGGUUGGCGUCGAGAACAAGUCAGAGGGCCCCACGGGUAGUCCACGAGGCACAUGGGCAUGCCCCAAGGGGGUGGGCGCGCUCCCACCCUCGUGGGGCCCAUGGGACUCCCCUCCCGUAACUCUUUGUUCCAUUAUUUUUUAUAUUUUCGAGAAAAAUUCCCCAUUGAUUUUCAGCGCAUUCCGAGAACUUUUAUUUCUGCACAAAAACAACACCACGAUAAUUCUGCUGAAAACAGCGUGAGUCCGGGUUAGUUCUAAUCAAAUCAUACCAAAAUCAUAUAAAACAAUAGUAAACAUGGCAUGAAUACUUCCUAAAUUAUCGAUACAUUGGAGACGUAUCAGCAUCCCCAAGCUUAAUUCCCGCUCGUCCUCAAGUAGGUAAAUGAUAAAAGAAAUAAUUUAUGAAGUGUGAAUGCUAGCAAGUGCUUAAUUUUGAUCAAUGAUAGUUUCAAUCACUUUUUAUAGCAUCAUUAUAUAUCAUAACAGUAGCUAAACUCAUAAAACUUCUCAUGAUCAAGUAACAAGCUAUUCACAUGUUAAAGUAUAGAUCAUAAACUUUCUUGGAAACUAACAAACCGUGCUCCUAGUCAUCAAACAAUUGCAAUUCAUCUCAUUUUUGGGAAGGGUCUAUGUAAGAGCUUUGAUUUAGCAAACUCCACAUACUCAACUAUCAUUUAAUCUUUCACAAUUGCUAACACUCAUGUGAUAUUUAUGGGUUCAAAGUUUUAAUCAGACACAGAGAAAGAUAUGGGCUUAUAGUUUUGCCUCCCAACCUUUUACCUCAAGGGUAAUGUCAACAAUAAUAAUUUAUGAAAACCUACAUCCAAGUGAUAUAUAUAUCCGGAUCGCUCCAACACAAAGUGUUUGCCAAAGGAAAAAGUGUAAAAAGGGAAAGGUGAUGAUCACCAUGACUCUUGUAUGAGGCUAGAAGAUAAAAGUAAAAGAUAGGCCCUUCGCAGAGGGAAGCAGAGGUUGUCAUGUGUUUUUAUGGUUGGAUGCAUGAAAUCUUGAUGCAAAAGAACAUCACUUUAUAUUGCCACUUGUGAUAUGGGCCUUUAUUAUGCAGUCCGUCGCUUUUAUUUCUUCCACAUCACAAGAUCGUAUAAAGCUUAUUUUCUCCACACUAAUAAAUCAUACAUAUUUAGAGAGCAAAUUUUAUUGCUUGCAACAAUGAAAACUUACUUGAAGGAUCUUACUCAAUCCAUAGGUAGAUAUGGUGGACUCUCAUGGCAAAACUGGGUUUAAGGAUAUUUGGUAGCACAAGUAGUAUCUCUACUUGGUGCAAAGAAUUUGGCUAGUAUGAGAGAGAAAGGCAAGCUCAACAUGUUGGAUGAUCCAAGACAAUAUAACGUUUCAGGUAUAGGAAAACAUAUCCCAUUAAGUUGUCUUCCUUGUCCAACAUCAAACUUUUAGCAUGUCAUAUUUUAAUGAGUGCUCACAAUUGUAAAAGAUGUCAAAGAUAGUACAUUUAUAUGUGAAAUCUCUCUUCCUUCAAUAUUCUUUCAUGAAUUGUUCAAGUGACCAAUUCUGCAUUUGCUAACUUUCAAUGAGUUUACUACCUAUACUUAUUAUGUGUGAAGUCAUUACUCCCCAUGUUAUAAGCAUAUGAAACGUAUAUAACUUCAGAUUUAUGAUAUUCAAUUCAUUCAACCAUUUACUCAUAGGAUAUACAUGAAGCGCGUGAGUAAAUGACAAACUACUCCAAAAUGAUAUAAGUGAAGAAUGCUGAGUAGUCAAAUAAUUAACUAGCCAUGGGAGGAUUCUUUAUUUCCAUUCAAGAUUUCAGAUCCAAUGAUUUUAUUCCAACAGCAAGUAAAAUUUAAAAUACGCUCCAAGCAAAACACAUAUCAUGUGACGAAUAAAAAUAUAGCUCCGCGUAAGGUAUACUGAUAGUUUUGAAGACGAAAGAGGGCAUGCCUUCCAGGGCAUCCCCAAGCUUAGGCGCUUGAAUCUUCCUUGAAUAUUACCGUGGGGUGCCUUGUUAAUCCCCAAGCUUAGGGUCUUUCCACUCCUUAUUCUCGUCAUAUCGAUAUCUCACCCAAAGCUUGAAAACUUCAAUCACACAAAACUUAACGAAACUUCGUGAGAUAGGUUAGUAUGAUAAAGAGUAAACCAUUCACUUUGGUAAUGUCAAAGACAAGGCUCAUAAUUGUUCUCACACAAUGCCUACUGUACCAUAUCAUUUCUACAAUUUAUAUUGAGAAAUAUAAGCCAUAGAAACUAGAAAACAAGCAAACUAUACAAUGAAAACAGAAUCUGUCAGAAACAGAAUAGUCUGUAAUGAUCUGAACACCAACCAUACUUCUGCUACACCAACAAUUCUGAAAUAAAUUGGUGGACGUGAGGAAUUUGUCUAUUAAUCUUCUGAAAAAAGAAUCAACUCAAUCUCACUCUUCUGUAAAAAAUGGAAGCUAAUCUCGUGAGCGCAAAGUUUCUGUUUUUUAUAGCAAGAUCACAUUAACUUUCACCCAAGUCUUCCCAAAGGUCUUGCUUGGAACUUUAUUGAAACAAAAUCUAUAAUACAUGAUUAAUACAAUAUCUUAAUCAUGAUAGCACAAAAAAACAUUAAGGGUAAAUAUUGGGCUGUCUUCCAACAAGCGCUUUUCUUUAAUGCCUUUUAGCUAGGCAUGAUGAUUUCAACGAUGCUCACAUAAAAGAUAAGAAUUGAAACAUAAAGAGAGCAUCAUGAAGAAUAUGACUAGCAAAUUUAAACCUAACCCACUUCCUAUUCCUCGGGAUUUUGUGAGCACACAAUUUAUAGGAACAAGGAUCAACUAGCAUAGGAAGGCAAAACAAGGAUAACUUCCAAACUUUAAGCACAUAGAGAGGAAACUUGAUAUUAUUGCAACUCCUACAAGCAUAUAUUCCUCCCUCAUAAUAAUUUUCAGUAGCAUCAUGAAUGAAUUCAACAAUAUAACCAUCACAUAAAGCAUUCUUUUCAUCAUCUACAAGCAUAUAAAUUUUACUACUCUCCACAUAAGCAAAAUUCUUCUCAUUCGGAAUAGUGGAAUCAUUACUAACUAAAGUUGACACUCUUCCAAAUCCACUUUAGAUUAUAGUAUUAUUCACACUCCAAAAUAUAUAAGUGAAGUUCAUGGAUCAUUAUAGAAUUAAUAUAGACUAACCAAUACCCAAGCUCAAAAUAUAUAAGUGAAGCACACGAAGCAUUCUAUAAAGCCAUACUCAAAAGAUUUAAGUGAAGCACAAAUGGCAAUUCUAUAAGAUCAUACUUAAAAGAUAUAAGUGAAGCACACGAAGUGUUCCAUAAAUCAGUAAAGAACUAUCUCCUACUAGCAUGGUUCUUAAAGGAAAAAUAAAAACCCAAAGGACACAAAUUAUGUGAACAAAACAAAAACCGAGGUAUACCGAUAAUUGUUGAAGAAGAAAGAUGGGAUGCCAACUGGGUAUCCCCAAGCUUAGAUGUUUGAGUAUCCUUGAAAUAUUUGCUUGGGGUGCCUUGGACAUCCCCAAUCUUGAGCUCUUGCCUCUCUUUAUUAUUCUCAUAUUGACAGCUCCUCGAUCUUCGAACACUUCAUCCACACAAAACUUUAACCAAAACUUUGUGAGAUCCAUUAGUGUAACAAAGCAAAUCACUACCUUUAGGUACCGUUGAAAACUUAUUCCAAUUUAAUAUUUGCACUAUAUAUAUUGUAUUCCAACUUCACCAUGGUUCAUACCCCCCGAUACUACCCAUGGAUUCAUCAAAAUAAACGAACAACUCAUAGAAAACAGAAUCUGUCAAAAACAGGACAGUCUGUAGUAAUCUGGAAGUUUAGUAAACUUCUGUAACUCCAAAAAUUCUAAAAAAUAUGAGAAUUUUAAAAAAAUUGUACAGAAUUAAUUUUCAAAAAAUUUCAGACCCAUUUGACUUUCCAGUAAAAAUGUAAAAUCACGCGCUACAGCCAAAGUUUCUAUUUUUGUACUAUACAUAGUAAACAAGCAAUCUAAUCAUCCUAAAACCGAAGCUUUGCACAUUAGUUUUAUAAUACAAUGGAUAUAUACAAGGGGAUAAUUAUUUUCAGAGAAGCUUCCAUGAAAUGUUUUACAUUGUUUCCAUGAGCAUGAACACAAGUGCUCAAGGUUGACCCUCAUUUCUUCAAUGCAUAAUCUUCCAAUCACUUCUCUCAUUGAAAAACUUUGUAGGCAUGAGAGGCAAGUAAAUUCUUUUUGUAUUUUCAUUCUUUGAAUUUUUUUGUAUGUUUCACCCACAACUAAAUAGAAACAAAAAGGAAAACAAAAUCUACUUAGUGAAGAAAGCAAACACGCACACACGUGAAUAUCAACCCCACGCUAUUGCUCCCCGGCAACGGCGCCAGAAAAGAGCUUGAUAAUCCCCAAGUGCAGGGAAUCAUUGUAGCAAUUCCCAAUGGUGGAAGUGAUAAGUAUGGAGUGUCGAACCGACAAGGAGCUAAAGGUAAGAUCAAUAUUCUCUCAAGCCCUAUCUUCCACUGAUACGACUCUACGUAUACCGAACGUUUGCUUCCAACUAGAAACGAGAAAUAAAACUAUGUUGUGGGUAUGAAGAGGAUACCUUUGCAUGAUAUCGGAGAGCUAAAACAUAAAAGUAGGGGCUGUUAUCAUAAAGUUAGAAUAUAUUACUAAAUAUUGUAAAUAGCGAGUGUGGAAUAAUGGUGGAUCGGUGUGCGGAAUUGUCUUAGGCAAUUGUUAACAAGACCGGUGGUCGUCAUUGCAAUUUCAUAUGAGGGAGAGGCAUAAUCUAACAUACUUUCUCUUCUUGGAUCAUAUGCACUUAUGAUUGGAACUCUAGCAAGCAUCCGCAACUACUAAAGAUCAUUAAGGUAAAACCCAACCAUAGCAUUAAAGCAUCAAGUCUCCUUUAUCCCAUACACAACAACCCCCUUACUCGAGUUUAUGCUUCUGUCACUCAAGCAACCAACUAUAAGUGAAUCAUGAACGUAUUGCAACACUCUACAGCGGGGAUCCCUCACGCUUGCGCGACACGGAGGGCACAAUAGGACAACACCAAAAUAAAACAUACAACUCAUACCAAUCUAGAUCAUCAAUCAACCCAAAGACAAAGGAUAUCUACUCAAAACAUCAUAGGAUGGCAACACAUCAUUGGAUCAUAAUAUGUGGCAUAAAGCACCAUGUUCAAGUAGGGAUUACAAUGGGGUGCGGGAGAGUGGACCGCAUAAAAGAGAUGAGGAUGGUGAUGAUGAUGGUGAUGUUGAUGAAGACGAUCACCGCUACGAUGAUUCCCCUCCCGAUCGCACUCCGGUGCCACCGAGAGAUUGGAGGAGAGGUUCUUCCCCUUGUGAUUCCUCCUCCAUGGCCUCCCCCUGGAUGGGGAGAGGUUCUCCCUCUGGUCCUUGGCCUUCAUGACGAUGAUGGCCCCUCCGGGAUCCUCCUCCAUGCCCUCCGGUGAUGAUGGCCCCCUCCGACAGGGUGCUAGAGAGGGCCUAGAUUGAUUUAUCUUGGCUAUAGAGGCUUGCGGCGGCGGAACUUCCGAUCUAGGUUAAUUUCUGGAGGUUUGGGUAUUUAUAGGAGAGGCUGGCGUCGAGAACAAGUCAGGGGACCCCACGGGUAGUCCACGAGGCACAGGGGCGCGCCCCAGGGGGGUGGGCGCGCCACCCACCCUUGUGGGGCCCACAGGACUCCCCUCCCGUAACUCUUUGUUCCAUUAUUUUUUAUAUUUUCCUGAAAAAUUCCUGGUUUAUUUUCGGCGCAUUCUGAGAACUUUUAUUUCUGCACAAAAACAACACCAUGGUAAUUCUGCUGAAAACAGCGUCAGUCCGGGUUAGUUCUAAUCAAAUCAUACCAAAAUCAUAUAAAACAAUAGUAAACAUGGCAUGAAUACUUCAUAACUUAUCGAUACGUUGGAGACAUAUNNNNNNNNNNNNNNNNNNNNNNNNNNNNNNNNNNNNNNNNNNNNNNNNNNNNNNNNNNNNNNNNNNNNNNNNNNNNNNNNNNNNNNNNNNNNNNNNNNNNNNNNNNNNNNNNNNNNNNNNNNNNNNNNNNNNNNNNNNNNNNNNNNNNNNNNNNNNNNNNNNNNNNNNNNNNNNNNNNNNNNNNNNNNNNNNNNNNNNNNNNNNNNNNNNNNNNNNNNNNNNNNNNNNNNNNNNNNNNNNNNNNNNNNNNNNNNNNNNNNNNNNNNNNNNNNNNNNNNNNNNNNNNNNNNNNNNCCCCUUGUGGGCUGGUGCGCUUCCCUCUUAUGGCCCAUAAGGCCCAUAACUUCUCCCGGGGUAAUCUAAAAAUAUAAAAACAGCAAGGUGACUAAUGAUAAAAUGGUAAAUUGUAUAGGUCUCUUGUGUCCCUAACACACCCAAUACAAUGGUAAAUUGUAUAGGUGCACUAGUUCGGCGAAGAGAUGGUGAUACAAGUGCAAUAUGGAUGGCAGAUAUAGGUUUUUGUAAUCUGAUAAUAUAAAAACAGCAAGGUAACUAAUGAUAAAAAUGAGCGAAAACAAUAUUGCAAUACGUUGAAACAAGGCCUAGGGUUGAUACUUGCACUAGUGCAAGUUCUCUCAACAAUAAUAACAUAAUUGGAUCAUAUAACAAUCCCUCAACAUGCAACAAAGAGCCACUCCAAAGUCACUAAUAGCGGAGAACAAACGAAGAAAUUAUUGUAGGGUAUGAAACCACCUCAAAGUUAUCCUUUCUGAUCGAUCUAUUCAAGAGUCCGUAGUAAAAUAACACGAAGCUAUUCUUUCCGUUCAAUCUAUCCUAGAGUUCGUACUAGAGAAACACCUUAAGACACAAAUCAACCAAAACCCUAAUGUCACCUAGAUACUCCAAUGUCACCUCAAGUAUCCGUGAGUAUGAUUAUAUGAUAUGCAUCACACAAUCUCAGAUUCAUCUAUUCAACCAACACAAAGAACUUCAAAGAGUGCCCCAAAUUUUCUACCGGAGAGUCAAGACGAAAACGUGUGCCAACCCCUAUGCAUAAGUUCACAAGGUCACGGAACCCGCAAGUUGAUGACCAAAACAUACAUUGAGUAGAUCACGUGAAUAUUCCAUUGUCACCAUAGAUAAGCACAUGCAAGACAUACAUCAAGUGUUCUCAAAUCCUUAAAGACUCAAUACGAUAAGAUAACUUCAAAGGUAAAACUCAAUUCAUCACAAGGAGAUAGAGGGGGGGAAACAUCAUAAGAUCCAACUAUAAUAGCAAAGCUCGCGAUACAUCAAGAUCGUGCCGAAUCAAGAACACGAGAUAGAGAGAUCUCAAACACAUAGCUACUGGUACAUACCCUCAACCCCAAGGGUGAACUACUCCCUCCUCGUCAUGGAGAGCGCCGGGAUGAUGAAGAUGGCCACUGGUGAUGGAUCCCCCCUGCGGCAGGGUGCCGGAACAGGUCUAGAUUGGUUUUUGGUGGCUACGGAGGCUUGCGGCAGUGGAACUCCCGAUUUAGGUUUCUUUUCGGAGGUUUCUGUAUUUAUAGGAAUUUUUGGCGUAGGUCCCACGUCAGGGGGUCUCCGAGUCAUCCGCGAGAUAGGGGGUGCGCUCGGGGGGCUAGGGCGCGCCCCCACCCUCGUGGAUGGCUCGGGACUCUUCUGGCCCAACUCUUUUACUCCGGGGGCUUCCUUUGGUCCAUAAAAAAUCAUCAAAAAUUGGCACGUCAAUUGGACUCCGUUUGGUAUUCCUUUUCUGUAAAACUCAAAAACAAGAAAAAUACAGAAACUAGCACUCGGCUCUAGGUUAAUAGGUUAGUCCCCAAAAUCAUAUAAAUGCAUAUAAAACAUCCAAGAUUGAUAAUAUAAUAGCAUGGAACAAUCAAAAAUUAUAGAUACAUUGGAGACGUAUCAAGCAUCCCCGAGCUUAAUCCUUGCUCGUCCUCGAGUAGGUAAAUGAUAAAAACAGAAUUUUUGAUGUGGAAUGCUACCUAACAUAUUUAUCCAUGCAAUUCUCUUUAUAGUGGCAAGAAUAUUCAGAUCCAUAAGAUUCAAGAUGAAAGUUUAAUAUUGACAUAAAAACAAUAAUACUUCAAGCAUACUACCAAAGUAAUCAUGUCCUCUCAAAAUAACAUGGCCAAAGAAAGCUCAUCCCUACAAAAUCAUAUAGUUUGGUUAUGCUCCAUCUUCGUCACACAAAAUAUCCAAAUCAUGCACAACCCCGAUGACAAGCCAAGCAUUUUUUUCAUACUUUAGUAUUCUCAAACUUUUUCAACUUUCACGCAAUACAUGAGCGUGAGCCAUGGACAGAGCACUAUAGGUGGAAUAGAGUGGUGGUUGUGGAGAAGACAGAAAGGAGGAAGAUGGUCUCACAUCAAAUGGGCUAUGGAGAUGCCCAUCAAUAGAUAUCAAUGUGAGUGAGUAGGGAUUGCCAUGCAACGGAUGCACUAGAGCUAUAAAUGUAUGAAAGCUCAACAAGAAACUAAGUGGGUGUGCAUCCAACUUGCUUGCUCACGAAGACCUAGGUAAUUUGAGGAAGCCCAUCGUUGGAAUAUACAAGCCAAGUUCUAUAAUGAAAAUUUCCCACUAGUACAUUAAAGUGACAAAAUAAGAGACUCUCUAUCAUGAAGAUCAUGGUGCUACUUUGAAGCACAAGUGUGGUAAAAGGAUAGUUGCAUUGCCCCUUCUCUCUUUUUCUCUCAUUUUUUUAUUUUUUUGUUUGGCUUCUUUGGCCUCCUUUUCUCUUUUUUUUGUUUCCUCACAUGGGACAAUGCUCUAAUAAUGAUGAUCAUCACACUUCUAUUUAUUUACAACUCAAAGAUUACAACUCGAUACUUAGAACAAAAAUAUGACUCUAUAUGUAUGCCUCCGGCGGUGUACCGGGAUGUGCAAUGAAUCAAGAGUGACAUGUAUGAAAAAAAUAUGAAUGGUGGCUUUGCCACAAAUACGAUGUCAACUACAUGAUCAUGCAAGGCAAUAUGACAAUGAUGAAGCAUGCCAUAAUAAAUGGAAUGGUGGAAGGUUGCAUAGCAAUAUAUGUCAGAAUGGCUAUGGAAAUGCCAUAAUAGGUAGGUAUGGUGGCUGUUUUCAGGAAGGUAAAUGGUGGGUUUAUGGUACCGGCGAAAGUUGUGCGGUACUAGAGAGGCUAGCAAUGGUGGAAGUGUGAGAGUGCGUAUAAUCCAUGGACUCAACAUUAGUCAUAAAGAACUCACAUACUUAUUGCAAAAAUCUACAAGUCAUCAAAAACCAAGCACUACGCGCUUGCUCCUAGGGGGAUAGAUUGGUAGAAAAAGACCAUUGCUCAUCCCUGACCGCCACUCAUAAGGUAGACAAUCAAAGAAAUACAUCAUGCUUCAAACUUGUUACACAACGGUUACCAUACGUGCAUGCUACGGGACUUGCAAACCUCAACACAAGUAUUUCUCAAAUUCGCAAUUAGUUUACUACCAUAACUCUAAUAUCACCAUCCUCAUGUCUCAAAACUAUCAUCAAGCAUCAAACUUCUCAUAGUAUUCAACGCACUUUAUAUGAAAGUUUUUAUUAUAUCCCUCUUGGAUGCCCAUCAUAUUAGGACUAAGUUCAUAACCAAAGCAAAUUACCAUGCUAUUCUAAAAGACUCUCAAAAUAAUAUAAGUGAAGCAUGAGAGUUCAUCCAUUUCUUCAAAAUAAAACCACCGCCGUGCUCUAAAAAGAUAUAAGUGAAGCACUAGAGCAAAUGACAAACUACUUCGAAAGAUAUAAGUGAAGAACAAUGAGUAGUUGAAUAAUUAUGUAACUAUGUGAAGACUCUCUAACAUCUAAGAAUUUAAGAUCUUGGGAUAUUAUUCAAACAGCAAGCAAAACAAAAAAAAAAUAAAA